AUCCUUCACAUCCCAAAGGCCUGUUAUCCUGGGAAAGGGUCAGACAAGCUUCGACAGCUGGCCUCAAAGCUUGAAGUCAAUGGAAUAGACUGGUACUUCAAAGAAGUGGACCACUGUUUUCUACAAGAAAAAAACACCUCAGCGUUUUUUAUGCUGCCCAAUGCUGGAAUGUUAUGUUGGAAAGAACAAAUGCACAUACGCUCGAAACUUCUUGAGAAGUUCACUCCAAAUUCAGAUGUCCAGCAUGAGGCGAAAACAGAACGCAGAAUAUGUAAGGGAUAAAUGAACCACAGGCAUGCAGCCAAAUGCUCCUAAAAAUGUCCUGGGUGAUGAGUAUUAAUGCAACCCACAAGAGAGUCAUCGGUUUUGAAGAGAAAAACAGCUGAAAUCUGAUGAAGCCACACACACAUUGUUUGGAAUAAACAAUGAGCAGCACGUACAUUUUACCAGCUUGUUUGGAUACAAGUCUACCGUUAGGCACGGUGAUAGUAAGUAGAGAGAUGCGGUGGGAGCCCCUCCCCAUAACUCCUCGCCACGAUUUGAAGACAUUAUGCACUUAGAUAUUUCUAUAAGAGGGAUUUAUGAUUUAUUUGUGUAUAGAGAAGCUACAGGAAAAGAGAAAGGGAAGCAAGGCCUGCUGGUUCUACUUACGGACAAGGAAACUUAAAUUGUCAGAUUGCUUAACUGAGCUCUCCAAGUCUGCCCGAAGUGAAGAACAGACUUCGGAUAUAAUCCACAAAGCCCGGGCCUCUAAACAAAACCAGUGACUGAAUGCCCACUUCAAGUUGGCACAGAGAGGCUCCAAGGUUGAGAGUCUGCAGCUUUAAAUUCUCUAAAGAAAAAAAAAAACCCUUUCAAAAAUAUAGUUACAGCGCACUAAUUAACGUGUUCCGACAUCCCUCCACUUCAGUCACCUCGAGAGUCUAAAAUUGUUACUGCCACUUAGCCUGGCUUGGCAGUCCUCGCCCCUCAGAAUGGAGCCCUGGUGGUCUUUCUGACAAGCUAAAACAGAGACAUACUUCUGCAGACAUGAAAGAUCCCUUCUGUGAACUGUGUUGAACACUCGGUGUUUUAUUAAAUGGUCUGGGAUUUUUUUCUCUACAUAUCUCUUCUUUCCCAGACACAGUCAACCUUUUUUUUUUCUUUUAAAUCAAGGCCACUUUCCAGAGUCAUUACCCAUCACAAAUUCUAUAAUUUUAAAUGAGCGGUUUUUUUCCCUGUAAUUCAAAAGAUAACUCAUUCCUAUUUCCAACAUUUAAUGUAUUUUUUUCUCUUCUUUUUUUUUCCCUGAAAGCAAUAUACGUGUGUAAUUAAUAAACAAUUUAGUGUGUUGAGGAACCUAGGAAGUUGGCAAAUGUUCUGGGGAUAUGAAAUCUCAAGAAAAGCAGCACAUUAUAAGAAAUACUAAGUAAUUACUUAUGUAAGCUUUCUUUUUAAAUUCUAAGAACAUUAACUACUAAUUACCUACUAAUUACCAGUACUUCAGCAGGUGUUUGCACUUAACUGUAGGCUAAAGCCCCUGUGAAAAACAAGCGCCUCACAGCCUCUCUCUAGAGCACAGCCAGUCCCGCUGGACCAGAAGCACACCACGGGCUCCGCAGCGCUGGUCACAAGCCAAUGCCUGCACCAUUUGGCUGCCUCAGGUGACAAAGCCAAGCCGGGUCUGUCUGUUUCCCUUUGUCUUCUCUCCAAACGCUACCAUUAUCGAGGAGUGAGGAAAGAUUCCGGUGAUAGCAUCCAGGUAUCUGGGGUUGCACACAAACUAUGAUGAAGAGGCCUUUGUCAGGAAGACAUCCUUCUCACUUCCGGUGAAGCUGUCUUGUGUGGCCGCCUGGCUGGGGCAGUCUUGCCUCCUUCCAGUGUUUCCUCUGGAAAGGAGUGUGCGUUUAGUCCAUCGUAUUUAUCUAGCUUUGAAAAUGAUCGUGAGUCUCCCUUCCAACUGAAAAAGGGAUUCUUCGACUCUACCCUUCUCAGAGCUCUAGAAAUUAAAGGCGUUCCAUAUUUACCAAGGGCUGGGAGGGUCAGGUCCCUCUGCACACAGUGCCAGCUCUCGGCCCAGACCUGAGCAUUGCGUGACUUACCAGAGUCAAGAGUUAGGUUUUUUCCCCCCGACUCCGUGUUCCUUUCCGUUUUUCUUUUUUCCCCCUUUCUUUUAUGUGUUUUUUGGUUCCUUGGUUUUGUUUGGUCCUCUGAGGCAGGCACUUUCUAUGCAGCCAAGCCUGGACUCAAACUGGAGGUCUCUUAGCUCCUGCCUGCCCAGUUCUGGAGUUACAGUUAUACACCACCAGCCUGUGUGCCCACGCCUAAACAGCUACUCCUUUAGGACACUUCAAAGAUGCCUCUGCCGUUCCUUGCUUCGACUGGAAAGGGAUGCGGGAACGCACGAUCUCACCGGAAAUCCACCAGACGGUGUUCAGUCCUGCCAGGACCAUCUUCCAGAGCACUCCCUGCCUCAUGCUUCAGUUUCCUGCGGCUACCAUAAGGAAUUACCAUGGCCUGCGGCUUACAGCCACAGAGAUGUAUCCUCGCACAGUUAUGGAGAUCAGAAUUAUGAAAUCAAGAUGUCAGUGGGGAUUCUGGGAAAGAGUCUGUCUUCCACUAGCUUCCAAGCAGUGCUUGGCUGGUGCCUGCAUUUGUAGCACCUUCUUUCAACUUCAGUCUAAUGCUCCACGACGCCUUCUGAAAGAUACAUGUCAUUAGAUUCAGCGUCCACCCAGAUAAUCUAGGCUGCUCUCAGUUUCAGAUCCUUAAGUUAAUGGCAUAUGCAUAGACAUCUUUUCCAACUGAGAUCAUAGUAGCAGAUUUGAAGGAUUUAGAUAUGGACAUUUCUACAGAGGUCAUCACCACCAGACUACUGUCUCUGUAAGUGAUCUUUAAUGUGUUCAUUUAUUCAAUUUUAUCAAAACUUGUGCUGUUUCAGAUGGAGAUUGUUGUAACAAGAUCAACUAGGCCUUUAUUCUCACAGAGUUUAUCUAUGAUCUCCCAACCAACAUCAUCUAUUUUGUCUACUACCCAGUUUAGAAAUACAUCCAUCCUUAGAUGCUAUGAUCCAGUACAGGCACUCAAACACAUAACUCUUCGAAAAUCUGGUGAAAUCAUAGCACGUGUGCAUGUUGGGGAAACAAGGGAUGCGUGUGAAAAGCUUCAAGCUUUCAGAAGAACAAGAAAGAACCACACAGAUGUGUAAAUUUUAUAAAACCAUUGUGUAUUGUAAUUGAAAUGCCAAAACAGUGAAGAAUCCAAUGUUGGUGAGGAGACAGACAUUAGUGUAAUGGGCAUCGGCUCUGUCUUUGUCAGCUGGACGUCUUUUAUGUAUCGCAAGCUGUCCCUUUCUAUCAAAUUUCCACUAAUUGUAGAAGUUUAUUAAAACUAAAUAUGAGUGCACAGCUUUUCCUUUCCCAGCAUUCAGGUGUUCUUGUCAUUAAAAACCAUGACUCACUCCACCCUGUUCCACAGUCCUGAGUGCUCUGAAAUGAGGAAAGAGAUGAACCAACCCAGUAGGUGUUAGGAGGAAUGGAGACAACAGUGUUGGAAGACAAUUGUUAGGGGUUAAGAUUGUGUGUGACCACAGACAUUAGUCAGAGAGUAGGCAAGCCAAGGAGUAAGUAAGACAUGGUCUGAUCAUGGCCAGGGAGAAGCAGGAAGGCAGAUUGAACUGCAGUGUGUCUCUAAUGGAGAACUAUUUUCCAGUUAAAGGAAGAAAACAUAAAUUAGUCAUCUGUUGCACAUCUGAGGCCAGCCCCAUCUGCUCAUUCUAUGCCUAAGGUCUUCUGGGUCUUGGUGAGGGAAGAGGGCAGCUCUCAGUGCUGCUGCUGCUGCUGCUGUUCGUAGGUUGGAAGGAUCUGGCGGAGGUUGCUUUUAAGCCUGGAGGCCUACUAGAGUGCAGUUCACUUACAGGUAUAAUGGACAGGGUCAUGUUUGAUAAAACCCAAGUUGGUUUCAUAUGGAAAAGCAAAUGGUAUCUUUCUGCAGCUCUGUCUAUGUGUGUACAGGCUUUAAAGGAUGACAGCCGGGACAGUGGGCUCCUGGAGGGUCAUUAGCGCUCGGGUCUCAGUAGUUCACUGGACUCUACAAACUGCAGCCCGGGAGCACAGACCAAGCAGCUGCUCCCUACUCCUCAAAAGGAUGGCAUGGAUUCUGUCACUGGGAAUAUGGGAGCUUGAGAUAGGGCCUUGCAAUGUAGUUCAAGCUGGUGGUAAACUCACAGCAAUCCUCCUGCCUUAGCCUCCGGUGUGCUGGGAUUUACAGGCAUGUACCACCACACCAUACUGUUGACCCUCUUUUACUGGAAUGAUCAGUUUUGUACCGGGUAUGUGGCAUAGUGUUUUGGUUAUCAGUAAUCCUUAGGAACAUUUUCAUACAUUGCCAGGGGGAGCGGGGAGUCAGCAUUUGUGGAACAAAGCAAAAGCGACAAUACCUCGGGAAGCUGUGUAGGUGUUCAGAGCUGGCAACGCAAGUCCCAGUUACAGAGGAAAACACCACUUACCCUCCACCGCCAUUACAAAUACAAGAAACCCCAGGAUCAGGAAGGGGAAGAAGGCAUGUUUUUUCCUUAGCAGAUUUUGAUUGUUUGUUAAGAAAAUAGUUAUUGUGUGCUUUUCCACAGUUAAUCAAGCCAUCUUGUUCCGAUCAAAACAUAUUUACGUGUCAAUUUGAGGGGAGGCACCGAACCCAGGUGCAGCAGGCUUCUAUGUCACUCUAACAAGUGACAUACUGCUCAAUGUCUCUCAUAGUCAAAGCCAACUCUCCCUCUAGUCCCUUCAAGGACUAUGCUAACCAGUGAGCCAGUAUUUAAAGAUCAGGGUAGUUGACCUAAGUGAGCUGAAGUCUGCAUCUCUCUGAAUAUCCAUCCAUCUUCCUUGGGCUGAAAUCAUCAAAGAAGCAGUGAAGCUAAAUGCCAGGUUCUCCUUGAAACAGGGCCAGCCUUCUCAACUGCUGCAGUUCUCGGUCUGGGGUCAUUUGUGAAUGACCCUGCCUGGCCUGGAUGAACAUGGGAAGUUAGUCCUCAUAGCGCUCAGAGGCCUCAGAGAUUCCCUCUUCAUAGGCUGCUUCAAGGUGUUCCUCUGUUCUUCUUCCUAAAUUCGGCUAUCCCCUGCUUAACCCUGCAACGAACCCACUGAAAUGUUACUGCCUUUAUCACCCAGUUAACCCCAGUGCCACCAGGUGCCACUCACCCCAAAUCCUGCUUUCCACAUAAUGUCUUCUUUGGACCCUGGUAUGCUGAGAAGAUGACUGAGAGCCUCUUUGCAUGUAUCUGUGGGGGAAGGCAGGCACACCCCACUUUUCUCAAGACCACCAGAACGACUUCAGAUAAACCUCUAAAGACCUCAAGAUCAAAAGCUCUGGCUUACGUCUUCAUGUAUAUUUUCAUACAGUGUUUCAUGUUAGUUCUCUAUUAUUUUGUGUAUCCUAAGUAAAUUAUUAUUAAAGAACCAUGUCUAAUACUUAUAUUCUACAGUGAAUGUUGGAGCAUCAUUUGAAAUGGAAGUUGACUGGUUUACUCCCUGCUAUAUUUUGGGAUAGUCAUGACUCGUAAGAAAUGAAAACUGUGUGUGUGCUUCCCACCAGAGGUGGCAAUGAACAUCCUCCAAUGAACUGGAGGAUGUAGUGUUCUUGCUUCCAAGGCCUCAGCACCAGCUCACUCACUCACUCAUACUGUGGCCAGGGUACGCACUCCAGAUCCCAGGCAGAGUAAACAGUGAUGGUGGACACUGGAAAAUGAAUAGUCCCCUUUGUUGGCAAAGUUUUUUUGUCCUGAUCCGGCUGCUGCUUCUACAGAUUGUGCCAUUUGUGAAGAUUCGACGAGCCCUGCGCUGGUUGUUUGCACAAUAUUCUGCAUAUACAUUUUAUUUAAUGUAAGCAGCAAAAGAAGAACUGGCUAUAUUCCAUGUUCAGCCUAUUUCCUGGGUUGAGGUGCAUCUAUCCCAUCUGAGAUGCUCCUCUUAGGAGCAGACACAGGCAUUAUCUUAUCAUCUGAUUCAGGGUCGGGUACACCAUAGGGGGCAGCAUCUUCCAUUGAAACAAUGGCCUUGGCAUCCAUGUGGUCCCUUCCCAUGUGGCUCAUUGCAGUUCAAGCAUCCACGUGAGUUACCAACAGCUAGAACUCCGGAACACUGUUCUCCCCAGAAACAUAUUUGGAUUCACCUCAAUCCAUCAUCCUUUGACUGACCUUUGUCUUGGACACGUACAGCCUCUACUAAAUAACACUACAGGAAAAAGAACCCAGAUGUGUGCACAAAAGUGUGUAUAAGAAGUUGCUGUAGUCAUGUGAUCUGAUCCUGUCCCUGGAUACAUGGGCAAAGCUCCCAGAAUCAAGUACUUACUGGGGUACUAGCAGUUUCUGUCAAUCUUUGUUUAUGUUGGAGUUGAUUUCCUUCCUUCUC
rnacentral:sRNA from 1 species